GCUGCGAACCUGAUUAACCCAGCGAUCAACGCUCCGUCCUCCGCCUGCGAACUUCCCAUCCUGCCCAUCCUCUUGGCUUCCUUGGGGCAAUUCCCAGAAGAAGGAGCUUUCAAGUCUCCCCGCUGCAGGGGUUCGUCCUCAGGGAAGACUCCCUCUUCCCCUUCCGACCCGUGCUGGGGCGCGUGGCCCUUCCUGGUGAAACCGGUGCCGGUUCCUUCCACCCGGUCAUUUACAAAAAUCACAAACAGCAGUGGACCCAACACCGACCCUUGCGGUACACCACUAGUAACUGGUCUCCAGGAUGAACAUUUCCCAUCAACUACCACCCUCUGUCUUCUUUCAGCAAGCCAAUUUCUGAUCCAAACUGCUAUAUCUCCCACAGUUCCAUUCCUCUGCAUUUUGUACAAUAGCCUACUGUGGGGUACCUUAUCGAACGUCUUGCUGAAAUCCAUAUACUCCACAUCAACCGGUUUACUCUCAUCUACCUGUUUGGUCUCCUUCUCAAAGAACUCA